GACGUAGGGCGCGAGCGUUGUCCGGAUUUAUUGGGCGUAAAGAGCUCGUAGGCGGCUUGUUGCGUCAGCUGUGAAAAACCCGCAGCUCAACUGUGGGCUUGCAGCUGAUACGGGCAGGCUUGAGUUCGGUGAGGGGAGACUGGAAUUCCUGGUGUAGCGGUGAAAUGCGCAGAUAUCAGGAGGAACACCGGUGGCGAAGGCGGGUCUCUGGUCCAGCACCGACGUUCAGGCACGAAAGCGUGGGGAGCAAACAGG
rnacentral:rRNA from 1 species